GCCAAGGCCCAGCAGUGGCCCAGUUAAUGGGGGCCGCCAGCCGACAGCUGUAGGCAACUCCCUCCUGAUGGCUGGGACCCCAGCCCCUGCCCAGUGGGUGCAGGGUGAAGCCCGCCUCUUCUCUCAGACUGGUGAUUUUGGUGAAACGCAGACGUGUGACUUCUUGGGGAGGAAACACUGGUUCUUUGCACGCUUGCCUCUCGCGUGUCCACAGGCAGCUCGUUCGCAGGAGAGCCAAACACAGCAGCCUCGAAGAACAAGAAAACCAGAGCUCGGCGCUGACUUCUCAAUUCUGAGCUAUACAUCGCUGCACCCAGCCUGAAAUCACUCCUCCUGUGUGAGGCUGCCGGCUCUGGUCACUUCCCACCAAUGGAACCGUGUGACAGCACCCUGCGUCUGUCCUCUGGCAUCGGGCCGUUGACUGUGAUGCCUCCACAGUGUGCCUCUCUUUCCUGUGGUGGAGCUGUAUACAGAUGAGGCCCAAGGCAUUUCCUGUAUCCUUGCUUAUAACAGCAAACCUGGGAACAGGCUUAAGGGUGCAUUUACGUAAACUGGAUGGAACACUACACCGCUGUGAGCAAGGAGGAGGGCGCAUGCUGCACAGAUCGGGAAAGAGCAC